rnacentral:rRNA from 1 species
AGCGGUUGACGGGAGCUUGCUCCCUGAUUCAGCGGCGGACGGGUGAGUAAUGCCUAGGAAUCUGCCUAUUAGUGGGGGACAACGUUUCGAAAGGAACGCUAAUACCGCAUACGUCCUACGGGAGAAAGCAGGGGACCUUCGGGCCUUGCGCUAAUAGAUGAGCCUAGGUCGGAUUAGCUAGUUGGUGGGGUAAUGGCUCACCAAGGCGACGAUCCGUAACUGGUCUGAGAGGAUGAUCAGUCACACUGGAACUGAGACACGGUCCAGACUCCUACGGGAGGCAGCAGUGGGGAAUAUUGGACAAUGGGCGAAAGCCUGAUCCAGCCAUGCCGCGUGUGUGAAGAAGGUCUUCGGAUUGUAAAGCACUUUAAGUUGGGAGGAAGGGCAGUAAAUUAAUACUUUGCUGUUUUGACGUUACCGACAGAAUAAGCACCGGCUAACUCUGUGCCAGCAGCCGCGGUAAU